rnacentral:lncRNA from 1 species
ACGCUGCCUGCAGCAUUUCUCAUGGAGAAGUGGAGAGCCGCCCAAGUAGGUAAAGUCCUCCCUAAAGGAACUGUAAAGGUAGCGGGCUAGGGCUGAGGCAUCAUUCGAUUAUUAAACGGUGGUAUUGUGUUCGUAAGAAUAUUGAAGUGAGCACACAGUCACAGAAACCUCCUCAGGUAUAGUGGGAGACACUUCUACAACACUUGAGUGGUGGAAACAGUGCGUUAGAACAGAGUAAAGUCACAUUCCAUGCGCUAGAAUAGGCUAGCAACGUGAUAGUGGACAAGCAAGCCGAUAACUAUGCAGUAGUUCCCUGCCGGUAAGCAGCAGUACUCCACCUGUUUUCCUUUCUAGCCUGUUGUCAAGAAGAUUGAAUAAGAAAAUGUAUGCAAAAUUGGUAGCCCCUUGCUUGUCUCUGAGAUGCUCAGUACGUGUUAAAUUCCUUUUCCUCCUGCUGAGGGCGGAGUGUCUCCUGAGAGGGAGGGUCAGAAGUGAAUGUUGGCAACAGUGAGUUGUUGAGGCAUGUGUAGCAUAAGACAGCAAAGAAAAGGUUGAUUCUACAUUGAGAGGUCAGUGGGGGGGGGGGGGGGGGAUCUGUAAGCUGCCAGUAUAAAGUGGAGCCUUUUAAAAGGUUGAAUAAUACUUCAUUUUUAAAACAACGUUUUAUUGUUAUGUAUUAAUUAUACAUAAUACUGGGUCUCAUCAUGAUCUUUUCAUACAUGUGCAUCAUAUAUUUGAAUUUCAACAGGACGGGCAAGAUUUUAACAGUAUAGACUGGGAGAAGAAGACAUUUCACAUGUUAGGUGGUAAUUAUCCCUUCGCAUGAGCCGGACAUGGUGGGUGGAUCUUUCCUGUAGUCUGCACUGGGGAGGCUGAGGCAGGAAGAUUGACGUGAAGUCCAGGUCAGCCUGGAUUACACAAUGAGAGCCCAUCUGAAAAACCAUCAAACCACGU